ensembl:lncRNA
GGGAGAGAGGGAGGGAGGGAGGAAGGAAGGGAGAGAGGGAGGGAGAAAGAAAAAGACAAAAUGUCUCCUCCUUUAUUUACUUAUUUCUAUUUCUUUUAACCAUUCUUAGGAGCCCCCUGCUCCAAAUGUAUUAUUUCUCGGUGGUUAUUUAAAUCAGACAAUUUACUUGUGACGUUUAUUAAUGGUUAAAAGUAAGUAUUCUUUAAACUUUGGGAAACAAACCCACACAGUUGUUGGGGACCCAGUGUUCAUCUCCAUGCCGUGUUCGCCCCUCGCUCAGCAAACGCUGAGUGCCUACUGUGUGUAAUCUCCUGCUGCAACACAGAGAUGGAUGGCAUUCAGCUCCAAUCCAGAGGAGCAUAGGAAAGUUUAGAAGAGGAAAGAGACCUGUAAAGAAUAAACCAGCCCACAGGGCAUGUUGAAGUGAGGAUUAUGAGAGAGAGAAACUCAAAAGGCUAUAGGAAUACACAGAAAGGAAAGCUAAUGUCUGCUGGAAUAUUCAGAAGGCUUCAAGGAGAAUUUGGCAUUUGAAGGAGGCCUCUUAGGAUGAGUGAUUCAUCUGCUGCUCGAAUGAAUUAGAUUUAGGACCAAGUUUUAGGUGACUAGCCUGAGCUGUGUGUGCCCUUGAGCUGUUAGAAGAAAAACGCCUUAAGUAUGUAUUUUCUUUCUUUAAACUAUAAAAUUAACUAAUAAUAUGCAUUUUUUUACAUAAUUUAGAUAGGAUAAAGUUUUGAUAAAAACAAUGCUUUAUUAAAAUAGCUAUGUUUUUUAAAGAAUGUGGAAUACUUUUGAAAAGUUACACUUAAAUUAGGAGAUUUUUUAAUAUUAAAAUCUCAGCAUUCUCAUUUUGAUUUAUUCAAAAGCUUUUCUUUUUGAGAGCUUUAAGUCUUUUGCUGGGGGGGGGUUGUUAAGAAACAAACCGAAAACCCCCCAAUAUUUAUAAACACAGUUAAUCUUAAAUGCAAACCAUUCCUUCCAAUUCAGUAGGAAUCUUGACAUCCACUACUAUGACCGAAUUUCAGUACUGCAACUUUAUAUUAAAUGAAACCAUUAUGGCAGGUUAUAAAUAUCCUUAAGUAUAAAGAAAUUAGUCAGUUACAAGACUUACUAAGUGUUAGCGACUUAGUAAGUUACAAAGUUGCUAAUACAUAGAGACUUCGUGUGAUGCAGAUGAAAGGGAGGGUAAAUUUUCAUACUACCUGCUCUCCUACUAAGUUUGAUGUCCCCAAAUUGUAGUUUGGUUUGAUUUAAUGUAAUUCCUUGUAGAAAUUUUGAAAGUAUACCUUUGGAUGAAUAGCUAUUUUUGAUUCUUCCAGUUGAAUAUCAAAUUGACAGUAAAAACAAAUGCAUACUUUUAGGAAGCCUUUUAGUAAAUUUAGGCUUUUAAGAAAGAUUUUAAACCUAAAGCAUGGGUAUGAGACCCACCGUUUUUCCUUUGAGAUGAAACUUAGUUUCUACUUAUAUCAUUACUUAAAAGGCUUAAAAAAGAAAAAAAAAGUUAGCAGACUCUUGAAUCCCCCUUUCAGUACUGUUUACACACGCACACACGCAUACACACACACACACACACUGUUAAAUUAUCCGUUUUAAAUAGAGUUCUAGUAAACAGCUGUCUUUCUGUUCCUUGUCUAAAGAGCAUCUUUGAUGUAACAAAUGAAAUAUAAGAACAUCUUUCUACUAUUUCAUAGUAACCAGAGUCUGAGUAUUUACAUAUACCCAGAGUUAACUUAUGCAUAUAUAUUAGGAUGUGAGAGUAUCAACUUUAUAUUGACAUAUAAAACCUCCUAAUGACCUGAAAUCAUUAAAAUAUUAUACUUUCUGUCCUGCAAAAAUUUUCAGCCAAAUGGUUUGACUAAUAUUUAAGUGUAUUCUGCUACUAUUUGCGAUGAUGAUAUUAGCACUUUUAAAAUAAUGUUUCUCUGUAACAGAGAGCAUUAGUUGAUAGCAGAAUUUUAUUCUCAUAUUUAUAUUCACAGUACUUUUGCUCUGUCUAUCCUGCAGUCACUCCAUAAAGUACCAUGUAUGAUUUUUAAAAACUAAAUGAAAAAAACAAAAGUAGGCAAAUGUGAAAAUAGUUUCAAUAUGUAUUUUAGAAUUUCUGUAUGUAAAAUGUUUUGUUGAAUUAUAUGGUCAUCAUGACUAAGUGCUCUAGUUUACAGUUAUAGAUUUGGUCUCUUUUUAAAUGUGGAAAUUUAAUCUUAAAUAUUUUUCAACUGGAUCUGUAUUAUCCCAAAUAUAUUAUUUUGAAAUUU